rnacentral:rRNA from 1 species
AGAGUUUGAUCCUGGCUCAGAUUGAACGCUGGCGGCAGGCCUAACACAUGCAAGUCGAACGGUAACAGGAAGAAGCUUGCUUCUUUGCUGACGAGUGGCGGACGGGUGAGUAAUGUCUGGGAAACUGCCUGAUGGAGGGGGAUAACUACUGGAAACGGUAGCUAAUACCGCAUAACGUCGCAAGACCAAAGAGGGGGACCUUCGGGCCUCUUGCCAUCGGAUGUGCCCAGAUGGGAUUAGCUAGUAGGUGGGGUAACGGCUCACCUAGGCGACGAUCCCUAGCUGGUCUGAGAGGAUGACCAGCCACACUGGAACUGAGACACGGUCCAGACUCCUACGGGAGGCAGCAGUGGGGAAUAUUGCACAAUGGGCGCAAGCCUGAUGCAGCCAUGCCGCGUGUAUGAAGAAGGCCUUCGGGUUGUAAAGUACUUUCAGCGGGGAGGAAGGGAGUAAAGUUAAUACCUUUGCUCAUUGACGUUACCCGCAGAAGAAGCACCGGCUAACUCCGUGCCAGCAGCCGCGGUAAUACGGAGGGUGCAAGCGUUAAUCGGAAUUACUGGGCGUAAAGCGCACGCAGGCGGUUUGUUAAGUCAGAUGUGAAAUCCCCGGGCUCAACCUGGGAACUGCAUCUGAUACUGGCAAGCUUGAGUCUCGUAGAGGGGGGUAGAAUUCCAGGUGUAGCGGUGAAAUGCGUAGAGAUCUGGAGGAAUACCGGUGGCGAAGGCGGCCCCCUGGACGAAGACUGACGCUCAGGUGCGAAAGCGUGGGGAGCAAACAGGAUUAGAUACCCUGGUAGUCCACGCCGUAAACGAUGUCGACUUGGAGGUUGUGCCCUUGAGGCGUGGCUUCCGGAGCUAACGCGUUAAGUCGACCGCCUGGGGAGUACGGCCGCAAGGUUAAAACUCAAAUGAAUUGACGGGGGCCCGCACAAGCGGUGGAGCAUGUGGUUUAAUUCGAUGCAACGCGAAGAACCUUACCUGGUCUUGACAUCCACAGAACUUUCCAGAGAUGGAUUGGUGCCUUCGGGAACUGUGAGAACAGGGGCUGCAUGGCUGUCGCCAACUCCGGUUUGGAAAAUGUGGGGUUAAAUCCCCCAAAAAGGCGAACCCUUUAUCUUUUGUUGCCACGGGUCCGGCCGGGAACUCAAAGGAGAUUCCCGUGUAAAAUUGGGGAGAAGGGGGGGAGAACCUCAAGUCUCUUUGGCCUCUUCAACAAGGGGUACACACGUGUCAAAUGGGCGUACAAAAAGAAAGGACCUCGCGAGAGAAGCGGACCUCAUAAAGUGCGUCGUAGUCCGGAUUGGAGUCUGCAACUCGACUCCAUGAAGUCGGAAUCGCUAGUAAUCGUGGAUCAGAAUGCCACGGUGAAUACGUUCCCGGGCCUUGCACACACCGCCCGUC